GCUCAGGACGAACGCUGGCGGCGUGCCUAAUACAUGCAAGUCGAGCGGACCGACGGGAGCUUGCUCCCUUAGGUCAGCGGCGGACGGGUGAGUAACACGUGGGUAACCUGCCUGUAAGACUGGGAUAACUCCGGGAAACCGGGGCUAAUACCGGAUGCUUGAUUGAACCGCAUGGUUCAAUCAUAAAAGGUGGCUUUUAGCUACCACUUGCAGAUGGACCCGCGGCGCAUUAGCUAGUUGGUGAGGUAACGGCUCACCAAGGCGACGAUGCGUAGCCGACCUGAGAGGGUGAUCGGCCACACUGGGACUGAGACACGGCCCAGACUCCUACGGGAGGCAGCAGUAGGGAAUCUUCCGCAAUGGACGAAAGUCUGACGGAGCAACGCCGCGUGAGUGAUGAAGGUUUUCGGAUCGUAAAACUCUGUUGUUAGGGAAGAACAAGUACCGUUCGAAUAGGGCGGUACCUUGACGGUACCUAACCAGAAAGCCACGGCUAACUACGUGCCAGCAGCCGCGGUAAUACGUAGGUGGCAAGCGUUGUCCGGAAUUAUUGGGCGUAAAGCGCGCGCAGGCGGUUUCUUAAGUCUGAUGUGAAAGCCCCCGGCUCAACCGGGGAGGGUCAUUGGAAACUGGGGAACUUGAGUGCAGAAGAGGAGAGUGGAAUUCCACGUGUAGCGGUGAAAUGCGUAGAGAUGUGGAGGAACACCAGUGGCGAAGGCGACUCUCUGGUCUGUAACUGACGCUGAGGCGCGAAAGCGUGGGGAGCGAACAGGAUUAGAUACCCUGGUAGUCCACGCCGUAAACGAUGAGUGCUAAGUGUUAGAGGGUUUCCGCCCUUUAGUGCUGCAGCAAACGCAUUAAGCACUCCGCCUGGGGAGUACGGUCGCAAGACUGAAACUCAAAGGAAUUGACGGGGGCCCGCACAAGCGGUGGAGCAUGUGGUUUAAUUCGAAGCAACGCGAAGAACCUUACCAGGUCUUGACAUCCUCUGACAACCCUAGAGAUAGGGCUUCCCCUUCGGGGGCAGAGUGACAGGUGGUGCAUGGUUGUCGUCAGCUCGUGUCGUGAGAUGUUGGGUUAAGUCCCGCAACGAGCGCAACCCUUGAUCUUAGUUGCCAGCAUUCAGUUGGGCACUCUAAGGUGACUGCCGGUGACAAACCGGAGGAAGGUGGGGAUGACGUCAAAUCAUCAUGCCCCUUAUGACCUGGGCUACACACGUGCUACAAUGGGCAGAACAAAGGGCAGCGAAGCCGCGAGGCUAAGCCAAUCCCACAAAUCUGUUCUCAGUUCGGAUCGCAGUCUGCAACUCGACUGCGUGAAGCUGGAAUCGCUAGUAAUCGCGGAUCAGCAUGCCGCGGGUGAAUACGUUCCCGGGCCUUGUACACACCGCCCGUCACACCACGAGAGUUUGUAACACCCGAAGUCGGUGAGGUAACCUUUUGGAGCCAGCCGC
rnacentral:rRNA from 1 species